rnacentral:rRNA from 1 species
GACGAACGCUGGCGGCGUGCUUAACACAUGCAAGUCGAACGGCAAGGCCCUGCUUUUGUGGGGUGCUCGAGUGGCGAACGGGUGAGUAACACGUGAGUAACCUGCCCUUGACUUUGGGAUAACUUCAGGAAACUGGGGCUAAUCCCGGAUAGGAGCUCCUGCUGCAUGGUGGGGGUUGGAAAGUUUCGGCGGUCGGGGAUGGACUCGCGGCUUAUCAGCUUGUUGGUGGGGUAGUGGCUUACCAAGGCUGUGACGGGUAGCCGGCCUGAGAGGGUGACCGGCCACAUUGGGACUGAGAGACGGCCCAGACUCCUACGGGAGGCAGCAGUGGGGAAUAUUGCACAAUGGUCGGAAGCCUGAUGCAGCAACGCCGCGUGCGGGAUGACGUCCUUCGGGUUGUAAACCGCUUUCGCCUGUGACGAAGCGUGAGUGACGGUAAUGGGUAAAGAAGCACCGGCUAACUACGUG